UAUGUACAUUUUCACGCUCCGUAUUAGUGUGUAUAAUUAAUAGACAAGGCAUAUAUCUAAAAAGUAUGUGUGUGACCCCAGUAGUCUGCAGUACUACUGUUCUUGAAUGAAAAUUGGAUUUUCUUUCUCCCCAGGUCUAAGGAGUCUUAUGCGCAUGUGUGCUGUGUCUUGCCAGGCAGUUGGCACAUGCGCAGUUAGGUUCCUGGGAACCAUGUGUUGGGGUGGCACCCGGCCGUGAGCUCCGCAAGGCACGGGUCACACUGGGUGAUGCCCUAAGGGCUGUCUGUGGUCAGUGAUCAAUAAUUAUCGAGUCAUGCAGAAGUACAGGUGGCGAGGAUUCCCAAUGUCCCGGCUCCCACUUGGUCCGGGUCCGUAUCUUUCUGCUCCCAGCUUGUCCCACCGGGUGCAGAGGGCGCCGGCCUGGGUCAGGUGCUGCGCGCAGCCAGGGAGUGACACGGGCAGCGCGGUGGUCAUGCUGCCUGCAAAGUGCUCAGAGGACAGCGUGGGCCUAGGUCUGCCUGGCUGACCCCAAACCCCGUGAACUGAUGGCAUGGCACCUUUCUAAAGGAGAAAAGUGCAAAGUAAUUCUGUGAAAACCCAGGACUGUGCUGAUCUAGUUCGGAUCCGGGAGAUGGGAUAUUGCUGUCCCCUGCGUUUUUCCUGGAAGAUGACAACAUGACGGAACCGAGGCUCUGCCAAGCUAGAGCCAGGGGACAGUGGCCGCCGGUGCUCUGCGCUGAAGUGGUUUUGGAAUCUCUCGAAGAGCCCUGGAGAGGGUCUGAGGAGAUUGGCCCAGGCCUGUACAGAGCCUUGCUGAAGCUCCCGUCCCUCAUACCCAGGCCCCACAGCACAGAUGACCACACCCCAGUUGUACGCCCCCACCUGCGAGGCAGAGACAGAAGGCCACAGCCUGCUGCACCUAUAGACCUGCUGCUCAAGGGACACUAUGUCCAUUCUGCCACCAACCAGCAGGUGCCAGGGCUGGCAAUUGAUUUCCAAUCAGGAGACAUUUCAGCUGGUGAACAAGUGCAAAUUAAAAAUAUUAGUAAUACAAAUCGGUUCAUUCACGAUGAAACACUGUGAAGUGUGUACAUUGAGUGCUUGGAGUACUUUGUGGAUAUGGGAAGCAUGUCAGGACAUGGGACAGGAACCUGGUCAGAGUCAGGGCAGGGAGGGCUGGAGGGCAAUUCGUGUCUCUAGGGUGCACAAGGGAAUGCUGUGUGGCCUGCGAGAGGCCAGGCCUGGUUUCUCCUUUGGCUCCCACAUCCUCCCUCCGUUAGCCCCAGUAAGACAAGGGCUGCGACAGGAGGAGCCAAAGCCACACAAACUUCAAUGAAGCAGUAACAAACGCACCACGGUGCACUAACCUGUGUUAGUUAGUUAGUGCCAUUACAGAGGAACAACUUUGCCUUCUUUCAGAACUGCGCUUUCAACUUUUCUGUUGUAAUUAUUUCAUUUAUUCCAAGAUCUCCCCAUACUGGUGGAUUUCUGUUUGUUUUGCCAACACUGAUCAUGCAUUACCUUUUACUCUGAGUUUAUCUGUGACUGACGGUUUGGUCCAGGAUGGAGAGUGGGGCAUCUCCACAUAGGGCUUUUUUUCAAGGUAUUUGACUUGGGCCCAAACUGCGUCCUUUCCAGGUGAGCCCCUCAGAAGUGCAGCAUUUGGGUCUUUGCUGAACACGAAGCGGAUUCCUAGAAAACAAGCAGGCAUUGAUUUGUGUUCAUUGAUGUGCUUUUACUAACUGACAGGAAGUGUGUUCUGAACACCUCUCCCCCAACCAUUCCACUCCAAUAAGCCACUGAGUUUGAUCAUUUCCAGCAUACGUGCCCUGCCACUCCUAUGAGAGAAGGGACAGCCUCCCUGGCCACCCCACUACAUGGUGGCAUUUCCUGCAGUGGCACCUACAUCCUGGCCUCCCAGCACCUCUGAUGUGGGGAGGCCUGAAGGAGACAGGGGCCACGAUGAGUUCCUUGAGCCAUUCUCUGUCUUUAAACAGAGAUUUAGCUAGAAAUAAGCUUGCCAGAGACUGUAUACUCACCCAGUAUACAUGCAAGGCAAGUUUGGGGGGGAAGAUUAUUGUGAAAUGGGGAGACUGAAUCACACUGUCCCCCGCUCCCAGCCAGCGAUUACUCCUCUGAAGUCUUAGCCCAUCAGCCACCAUCCAGGAUUCCAAGCUCCUGUCACUGUCUGCUCAGACACCGAGACCUAGAGGCACAGGGUGUUCAGGAGACAGGCAGACGGCAGGCUGGGGUGCUGUGGUGUGGAUGGGACUAGAAAGGCCUCUUGGGGCUGUUCAUUCCCACCUGGCCUCUAAACACUGGAGAGAUGUGGACCUGGGAGAAAGUCAUUUUCUGAGCGACGUUCUUGUGCAUCAAAAGAGGCUUCUGGGGACUUAUUUCUGCCACUUUUUAUUUGCUUGCUUGGUUGUUUUAAAAUCAACAGAGUCCAAAGCACUAUCAGUUUCACCGUAAGAGGAAACAGGCGAAACCGUAACACUGCUAAGGCAUCCAUAGCCUUCUGCUGUGUUUCCUUUGGGAAUAUUUUCUCUGAGCAUCAUUUUUCCAUUGCUAUACGUUACUACCGUUUUACUUAACCCACAGUGCAUACUUCAGUCUCUUUAGCGUUAUUUUUUUAUUCCAAGGCCAUUAUCUCUAAUGGCUGCCCAGCGCGCUGUCCAGUGUGUGCACCACAGUUUAAUGCUCCUUGCCGACAGAGGUUGUAUCAGGUCUGCGUGGAGCUGCUCCGGGCAUCUCCUGCAGGACAUCGGUGGAGCCCUGAAACCCCUGAAGCUGGAUUUCUUUGGUUAGUUUCCCCUCUAUGUGGUUCCCCUGUUCCCUCACAACAAGUUUUGUUUUGUUGGCAAUAAACCAAGUUAUGAAACUAUCUGAAGCUUUGCGAGAAUCUUGCCUGCCAUUUUCCCCAGCGUGACCUCAGUGACUGCGAUUCCCUUUUCCGAAUUCGCGUAUGAGAGACAAACUUGCCCCACAGAGACGGGAUUUGGGUCUUUGCUGAAGGACCACUGUGACAUCUGGGUGGCUCUCCCUUCUGUGCCAGUGGCCUCGGAUGUCUCUGAAAGCCUGCCUGAAACGAAAAUGGCACUUUUAUAGCUGGGGACGUGCCUGUCCAGAGAACGUUUAAUCAGAGGUGGCUUCUCCCGGCUGAGGCGGGCAGCAGUCUGUAACUGUAGAGUCCUGCUAAUGCACUCUUCUGCCGGGAAGCGGGGUGGGGCAGGGAGCGGGGAGAAGCCAUUAACACCCGGAGGUCAGCGCUGCUGAUGCUGCCUUUUGUUUGCAGCCUCCAAAUGAAGGCUGCUUCUGUGCUUUCCCGUUGCCUCCACCUAAACACACUCUUGGGUCAUCUCACUCCGGUCACAUCUUUUGACAAUUAGCCACCCAUUAACAGGGUGAUUGAAAAGGAGCCAGCGUGGUUUACACAUAAAGUGCUUACGCUUUUCCAGGAAGAAGCAUCUCUGCAGUUUCAUUAAUGCUUUGGCCCAUGAGCACACAAAGUAAAAGACGAUACUCUAGCAAGCACACAGGGAAGAGAGUGGGGCAGGAAGGCAGAGAAUUAAAGAGCGAAAAAGAACCCUGGCAGGUUUUUCUUCUUUUUUCUUCUGCUUUUUUGCUUUAAAGAGCAGGGUAGGCGUUAUCUGCCUUUAUCUGUUCCCACCUCUAAAGCCAGCAUUACCAGUCAUUUUGCUUCUGCUUUACUGUUAUUAUCUGGGUGAUGGCUGUGACAUGUUGAUCAUAUAUGGCAGUGAGAAAAUUGAUUUCCCUCAACAGAAAUGCUUCCAAUUUUCCCAGGGCCAUAAUUUUAUGUCCACAACAAAAUAAAAGGGUCAUUUUCCUUAAGAUGAGGGGAAUUGAAAUCUCUGAUAAAAGCUAUGGUAAAUGUUGUACUUUUGGUGGCGGAAACUGCAGUUUCACAAACAUCUGGCCUGACUGAUUUGGGAGUGUGGGCUGGGGGCAGAGGAAAGGGAUUUGAGGGCAAAGAAGUGUUAUUUUUC